GUCUACGGCCAUACCGCCCUGAACGUACCCAAUCUCGUCUGAUCUCGGAAGCUAAACAGGGUCAGGCCUGGUUAGUACUUGGAUGGGAGAAAAGAACUACAUCAGGCACAGUGAGGCCAGGUGUGGUAGCUC
rnacentral:rRNA from 1 species